rnacentral:lncRNA from 12 species
UUUACUUCCAUUUACCGAAGGUACUUUUCAAAAAAAGAAAAAUAAAUUACCUUAGGCGUCGCCCUUCAGUUUCCCGAAGAACAGUGGGUGUUCAAGGAAAGUCUUUCUACUAAGCUCCACUGGGUCUUUUCCUGUCGUAACAGAGAGGUGGGGUGACAUUGUCUGGGAGGUUCACACGUUCAGGGAAAGAUCAAGCAUAAAAUUUGAAAGGGACCAAGCAGCAAUGUUAGUAUGUGGUGGGCUCAGUAAUCGACGAUGAACAAAAACGUCAGUUCGAACAUCUAAUCUGCAUGUGGACAGAAGUGCUCUGAGCCCAAGCGGUCAUCAAAGCUGUUCGCACCAUGUAAUCUGGAAUCUUGGUCCAGCCCUCAUGACCCGUCUGUUCUCUGCCAAGUCUCACAGAAUCUCAUCCUGUGCUGCAGCUCAGUAUUCAGUCAAAGACCCAAGGAAAGGAACUCCUCUGGAUGUUUUGGAAGCUACUUUUCUAUAUUUCUCCCCAUUGUGUGGCACCAUGUCCUGCAAAUGCAACUUGCUCCAACAACCUUAGACUCUGAUCUUGGUCCGUUCUACCCAGGGACACUCCUCUUUUCUUUUCUUUUUUUUUUUUUUUUUCUUUUUCUCUUUUCUGCUUGGGCUCCUCUUCCCUGUGCUGCAGCUUGGAAAGUGCUCUCUCAGCUAUAAUAUAGAUCUCAUCUCAUGUGUGGCUUUUCUUUCAAAGAUUACAACCUUGCACUGUCUAUCCAAUACCUGAAAGCAGCUAGUUCAUAUGUAUUGUCCAGUUUUAUGGUUCAUUCCCUGAGAGGGCAAGCCCAGUCAUCCUUACUCCAUCUUGCCUAGAACUAGAAGUGACUUCAACUUGCUUAUUAAUCUCUGAACUUCAGGUUCAUCAACACCUGUGGCAUGAGGCUUUGGGCUAGACCAGUACAUCUGAUGUGUAACUCUGCCCAUAUUCAGAGCUGUUUCUCAGUCCAAGCCACUUUCUCCACCUAUAAUAUGGGUUUCCAGUAUAAAAGUUGGAUUUGAUCUCUUGAAUAAACUCUUCUGCAGUUACA